AUCAACCGAAGGCGGAAAGUUACCGCCACCUAGCAACCAGGAGGGCACCACACUUCUAGUGCUUAACGGAGAUGCAGGAGUUUAGCGACCUGCCGGUUGUA
rnacentral:ncRNA from 1 species